rnacentral:rRNA from 1 species
UACAGAGGUGGCAAGCGUUGUUCGGAAUUAUUGGGCGUAAAGGGCGCGUAGGCGGUUGCGGUAAGUCUGUAGUGAAAUCUCUGGGACUCCAACUCAGAGUCUGCUGCAGAAACUGCCGUGCUUGAGUGUGGGAGAGGUGAGUGGAAUUCCCGGUGUAGCGGUAGAAAUGCGUAGAUAUCGGGAGGAACACCUGUGGCGAAAGCGGCUCACUGGACCACAACUGACGCUGAGGCGCGAAAGCUAGGGGAGCAAACAGGG